rnacentral:rRNA from 1 species
GAUAAACGCUGGCGGCGUGCAUGAGACAUGCAAGUCGAACGGACGAUCAGGGCUUGCUCUGAUCGUUAGUGGCGGACGGCUGAGUAACGCGUAGGUGACCUGCCCCGAAGUGGGGAAUAACUGCCCGAAAGGGUGGCUAAUACCGCAUGUGGUGGUGCCUUCAUAGGCACCAGUAAAGCCGCAAGGCGCGUUCGGGAGGGGCCUGCGUCCGAUUAGCUCGNGGUGGGGUAACGGCUCACCAAGGCGACGAUCGGUAGGUGGUCUGAGAGGACGAUCACCCAGACUGGGACUGAGACACGGGCCCAGACUCCUACGGGGAGGCAGCAGUCGGGAAUUUUGCGCAAUGGACGAAGUCUGACGCAGCAACGCCGCGUGAGGGAUGACGGCCUCGG